rnacentral:rRNA from 1 species
CCCCUAGUAACUGCGAGUGAAGCGGGAAAAGCUCAAAUUUAAAAUCUGGCGGUCUUUGGCCGUCCGAGUUGUAGUCUGGAGAAGUGCUUUCCGCGCUGGACCGUGUACAAGUCUCUUGGAACAGAGCGUCAUAGAGGGUGAGAAUCCCGUCUUUGACACGGACUACCAGUGCUUUGUGAUGCGCUCUCAAAGAGUCGAGUUGUUUGGGAAUGCAGCUCAAAAUGGGUGGUAAAUUCCAUCUAAAGCUAAAUAUUGGCGAGAGACCGAUAGCGAACAAGUACCGUGAGGGAAAGAUGAAAAGCACUUUGGAAAGAGAGUUAAACAGUACGUGAAAUUGCUGAAAGGGAAACGCUUGAAGUCAGUCGCGUUCGCCAGGACUCAGCCUUGCUUUAGUGAGGUGCAUUUUCUGGUUGACGGGCCAGCAUCGAUUUUGGUUGUCGGAUAAAGGCAGGGGGAAUGUGGCAUCUUCGGAUGUGUUAUAGCCCUCAGUCACAUACGACGGCUGGGAUCGAGGACCGCAGCACGCCUUUAUGGCCGGGGUUCGCCCACGUUCGUGCUUAGGAUGCUGGCAUAAUGGCUUUAAACGACCCGUCUUGAAACACGGACCAAGGAGUCUAACAUGCCUGCGAGUGUUUGGGUGGAAAACCCGAGCGCGUAAUGAAAGUGAAAGUUGAGAUCCCUGUCGUGGGGAGCAUCGACGCCCGGACCUGACCUUCUGUGAUGGAUCUGCGGUAGAGCAUGUAUGUUGGGACCCGAAAGAUGGUGAACUAUGCCUGAAUAGGGUGAAGCCAGAGGAAACUCUGGUGGAGGCUCGUAGCGAUUCUGACGUGCAAAUCGAUCGUCAAAUUUGGGUAUAGGGGCGAAAG